rnacentral:rRNA from 1 species
AACGAACGCUGGCGGCGGGCUUAACACAUGCAAGUCGAGCGCCCCGCAAGGGGAGCGGCAGACGGGUGAGUAACGCGUGGGAAUCUACCCAUCUCUACGGAAUAACGCAUGGAAACGUGUGCUAAUACCGUAUACGUCCUUCGGGAGAAAGAUUUAUCGGAGAUGGAUGAGCCCGCGUUGGAUUAGCUAGUUGGUGGGGUAAAGGCCUACCAAGGCGACGAUCCAUAGCUGGUCUGAGAGGAUGAUCAGCCACACUGGGACUGAGACACGGCCCAGACUCCUACGGGAGGCAGCAGUGGGGAAUGUUGGACAAUGGGCGCAAGCCGGAUCCAGCCAUGCCGCGUGAGUGAUGAAGGCCCUAGGGUUGUAAAGCUCUUUCACCGGUGAAGAUAAUGACGGUAACCGGAGAAGAAGCCCCGGCUAACUUCGUGCCAGCCGCCGCGGUAAAAC